rnacentral:rRNA from 1 species
UACGAAGGGGGCUAGCGUUGCUCGGAAUUACUGGGCGUAAAGCGCACGUAGGCGGCCAUGAUAGUCAGAUGUGAAAGGCCUGGGCUUAACCCGGGAACUGCAUUUGAUACUGCAUGGCUAGAGUCCAAGAGAGGGUAGUGGAAUUCCCAGUGUAGAGGUGAAAUUCGUAGAUAUUGGGAAGAACACCAGUGGCGAAGGCGGCUACCUGGCUUGGAACUGACGCUCAGGUGCGAAAGCGUGGGGAGCGAAC